UCCACCCUCUCUGGUACGUAAGAGCAGUCAGAGCAAUCCUCUGUCAUGAAUAUUUAGAAAUCUGCUUAAAAAGCUUUACCAAAAAUGAUUGCUGGUGACCUGCCUUGAUAUUCCUGGGUCCUUUUUGCAUACUUUGUCAGGGCCUACCAGGAUUAAAUUCUGGUGGUAUUUAGUUGGUGAUUCUGUUCCAGAUUUUGGAAACCAGAACAGUCUCUUGAGGAACAACUUCCUAUUAGGGCUAAUUUAUACUGUAGUGCAGAACACUCUUGAGACUGAACAAGGGAAUCAUUGCUAAGUAUGCCAAAAGAAGAGUUAUAAACUAGCAAGCAGCAGCUUAUAGUCACCCUAGCUGAGUCUUUCUCAUUCAUACUUAUUUGAUUUCCUUAUUAAUUUAAUCCAAUCUCUUUGCCCCAUCUUACCGUGGUCACUGUGUAUUGAGCCUCUCAGGAUGAAAUUCAUAAGGAAAUCAACCAUUUUUCUCUGGUAUGUGGAAAUUUAAGUCAAAACUCUUCA
rnacentral:lncRNA from 1 species